UCACGACCCCUUCCAAGUGAAGACCUUCCGUCGCCCACCGCCGCCGCCUCCUACCGCACACACCUCGCCGGCGAUGGCCAUCGGCUCCGUUGGAUUCCCAACGUUCCCUGUAUCCACCAUGCACCCGCUGUCCGCGUCUGCGUAGGCCCUAGCUCUGGUUCAAUUUCAGCAUCCAGAUCCGACGCCAUGGAGGACGACGCCACCUCUGUCCAUCACCCAACCACCACAUCGGAUAGAGGGUGAGGAGUUCGAGGACGAGGCGACGAGGAUUUGCGCCGGCGACCUAGGCCACGAGGACCGCGACCCCCCCACUUCUACCAUCCUCCCAGCAGUAGGUCGCAACAAUGCUCCUCACGGCGCGGCCAACCAGCCCAUCGAUGUUGUCUCGAACAUCCGCUGGUACGCUGUGCCCCUAUCCGUCCGCAUCGCCACCGACGAGGAGGAUUGUUGCGACCUGAGCCUAAUCCACCUGGUUCGGCCGUCAAUCUCUACUUCCUGUUGGUCCUCCUCCUCCCCCGCCUGUUGCACCCUGUGGGACCCGAUGUGGAUGAUGUCCGCCACCAUGUCAUGCUCGGCUGCCUCAGUCGGAGACUAAGAAAGCUACGGUGGCCCUCCACUUUUCCUCCGGCAACCAUGCACUGUGAUGAUGUUCUGUUCCACCUCGCCUCCCCUGCCAUGUGGACUGCCUCCUUGAUUCCCAGGUACUGCCCCAUCUGCUCUCUUUCCAUAGUUAUGUGGUAAUAUGUUUGUAGUUUAGUUGAUGAUUGAUGCGCAUAGAAGGGUAAGAGGAGUCAAGGAGAAAAUGAAGUCAUUGCAUAGAGCUUCAUAACGAUUUCCAACUGGUCUGUUGCAUCUUCUCUGCAGUUUCCGAUGUUUCAUGUCUGAAUAGCCUAUGAUUUCUAUAGCUGUUUAUUGCUGAUUUCUUUACUGAUUUAAGCUAACAAUUCUCAUGAUAUUUGUGAUUCAGCAGGACCUAUCUUUUCCACAUACUUUCUAUGUUUCAUGAGAUUUGGCGAUUCAGUUAUAAGCCUGGUACUUUGAAAAAUGCACAGAACAGCCAUGGUGAUGUGCCAUUUUGGUUUAUUGAGAAUUUCAUGCAGUGGAUGGCAUGUCACCACGUUCUUCUCUCCUGGACCCUUUGUCCUUGGGCUGCAAGCUCCUGCGACACGGAUGUCGCCUUCAGGCUUCACAGGAAGCACAACAAAAGGAAAGAUGGUUUUUAGAAAAACAGGGGGGCCAAAUUUCCCCCAGCCCCAUUUUAUUGGAAAUGAAGCCAGGGUAAAACAGUGUACCAUGCGAGAUUACCCAACAUUCCAGAUGGUUUCGAUUUGAUUAUUUCAUCAACCACUUAAACAAGAUGUGUGGAGAUGUCACCAAGGUCAUCUUCUCUGCACACCCUGAGCAGCACCAACACGUCAAGUAUGCCUAGACAAAGGGCAGUCGCACUGGUUGGGUGCAGAUUUUACAAGUGUCUGGGAUUCUUGCUCUUCUCACAGGUUGUACGCCAUGCAGCUUGUGGAAUAGUGGUUAGUGAACCCUGCCUACUUUUUUCUAAUGCACCGUAGGAUUGUACAUAGCCAGAGCUAAUUACUAUUACAUAUAUGUGAUGUGUUUAUGUUCGUAUCCUACACUUAUGAGGGUUUUUUCAAUUAUUUCUUUUUUCAGCGAGUGGUUUGACAUAAAUAAUUUCU